UACGUAGGGGGCGAGCGUUGUCCGGAUUCAUUGGGCGUAAAGCGCUUUAAGGCGGUUCGCUAAGUCGGGUGUGAAACCUCCAGGCUCAACCUGGAGACGCCACUCGAUACUGGCGUGACUAGAGUUCGGUAGGGGAUCACGGAAUUCCUGGUGUAGCGGUGAAAUGCGCAGAUAUCAGGAGGAACACCGGUGGCGAAGGCGGUGAUCUGGGCCGACACUGACGCUGUAGAGCGAAAGCGUGGGGAGCGAACAGGAUUAGAUACCCUGGUAGUCCACGCCGUAAACGUUGGGCACUAGGUGUGGGGGAUUAUCAACGUCCUCCGUGCCGUAGCUAACGCAUUAAGUGCCCCGCCUGGGGAGUACGGCCGCAAGGCUAAA
rnacentral:rRNA from 1 species